rnacentral:rRNA from 1 species
AGACACGUGGGUAAUCUACCUCUUAGUGAGGAAUAACCCUGGGAAACCGGGGCUAAUACCGCAUAAGCCUGAGAAGGGAAAGCAGAAAUGCGCUGAGAGAGGAGCCCGCGGCCGAUUAGCUAGUUGGUGAGGUAAGAGCCCACCAAGGCAGAGAUCGGUAGCCGGCCUGAGAGGGCACACGGCCACACUGGCACUGAAACACGGGCCAG